UGUUAUGGCGGCUGUACGUGGGAGACCUUCGGGUCUGCCGGGUUUGAUCCUUUGCCGGUUUUUUCCAGUCCGCGUACAGCUGCCACCCCU
rnacentral:antisense_RNA from 1 species